UAAAAACGUCGGCUAACUUUAGUAUUAUGACUUAUGAUAUUAAUCAAUUGAUAUUGAUAGACAUGUAACUGGUAUUCUUAUUAUAACGUAUUAUUGUUAUUAAUUUAUUGAAUUUACAUACAAUAGUAUUAUUACAAUUAUAUUUAUUCAAUGUUUUUACAAUUACAUGAAUCCAAAAGUUCAAUUAUUUUUAAAACAAAUCAGUAUUUUUUGAAUAAUGUAGUCCGAUACAAAACAGGGUGAUUUACAUGUAUAUAAACAAUUAUUAUGAAAAAAAUUUUUUCAUAAUAAUCCUUAAGGGGAUUCUGGAACAGAGCUCGCGUCUUUUGUUUUUCAACGCGCUUUUUUAUACGACGUAGUAGUUGGCUAGUACCAAUUCGUGAUUAAUAUACCGCGUAGAUUAAUUUUAAAAUAACAUAAAAUAUUUGUGAACAUUUUUAUAUAAAAAAUUGAAUUGUUUCAAUUAUAAGUAAAAAAGUGCUAGUGAUAAAAUGGAUAAAAGUUAUUCCUACGCAAAUAAGCACUCAAUUAUUUACAAACGGGAAAUAAAAGAAGCAACGUCAUUUAUCACAUUUUCAACAACAAGUAUUGAGGGUCCAGGUAGAAUUAAAUCGCCUACAUUUUCAACGGGUUCACGCAAUAACGAUCAAUGGCACUUAGUAUUCGAAGGAAGACACACUUAUUAAAAAGGAAUUUUAUGUGACGAAGAUAUGCUUAACUUCGGUUAGCAAAUGUAAACCAAAGGCUCUGAAUAUCGUGUUUUUAUCUUAAAUAAAAAUAAAAAUAAACACGAUUUUGAUUUUUCAGUUAUAAGUGAUCCUUACAAAAAAUACGUUGCUGGAUGUUUGAUAGAUAGUGAAUAUUGGAAUCCUAUUGAUAAUUAUUUUGAUGGUGGUACUUUGCCAAUAGAUGAUCUGUUAAAAAAAAAGAUGAGUUUCUACCAAAUGAUACCUUAACAAUAUCCGUUGAUCUUACUGUGUAUGAUGGCCACGUAUCAUUAAGUAAUACAAAAAUCCCAUUGAAAGCUAGAGCGAAAGAUCAAAUGAUCGAGGAUUUUAAAAAAUUGUUUAUUACGAAAGAAGGCAGUGAUGUUUUUAUUACAAUUGAUGAUAGAGCAUUUCCAGCUCACAAAUGUAUUCUAAUGGCACGUAGUCCUGUACUUUAUGCAAUGGUUUCGCACGAAAACAAAAAAUGAAGUUAAACCUGAAAUAUUUCAAAAAAUCCUCGAAUUUAUUAUAGGAACUAUUGAAAGCCGCUCAUAAAUAUGAACUUCAAGGACUUAGAGAAAUCUGUGAAUAUUCAAUAUCUGACAAUCUAACGAUAAAAAAUGCUACUAGAAUACUACUAUUAGCUGAACGUUACAACGCUAAACUUUUAAUGGAGAAUUUGACACUCUGGAAGAAUCCCACCCAUCAUUAUAUUUACGUUUACUCAAGCGUAAAUAUGCAACUGAUAUGAAAAAUGAAUAAUGUUUUUUCUGAUGAUAGUUCCAGCCAUGCAAGUCUUCAUUUUUAUAAUCAACAAGAAAUCAAACGUGAAUUUUAUUACCAAAAUUAAGCUUUUUUUUUAUUUAUCUUUUUUUAUUACUAAUAAUAAUCAUAUAUAAAUAUAAUUCUUAUCUUUGCACUUGGUAUAAUCGUACUUAACAUUCAGUUUCAUAUGUUUUUAAAUAAAAUUUAAUUUGAUUAUAUAUUGUGUGUUUUCAAAAGUUGUAGUAG